CCCUUAGAUGUUCUGGGCCGCACGCGUGCUACUCUGAGUGGAUCAGCGGGUCAGGUUGCGCGAAAGCGUUUCCUAAUCUUUAAAUCCGCUCGUGAUGGGGAUUGACGGUUGCAAUUUUCUGUCAUGAACGAGGAAUACCUUGUAAGCGCGGGUCAUCAUCCCGCGCUGAAUACGUCCCUGCCCUUUGUACACACCGCCCGUCGCUCCUACCGAUUGAGUGGUCCGGUGAGGCUUUGGGAUCUGAGCGGAAAGAGCGUUUCGCUGUUUCUGCUCGGAAAACUCAGUCGAACCUUAUCAUUUAGAGGAAGGAGAAGUCGUAACA
rnacentral:rRNA from 1 species